rnacentral:rRNA from 1 species
AGCGUAGACGGACUGGCAAGUCUGAUGUGAAAGGCGGGGGCUCAACCCCUGGACUGCAUUGGAAACUGUUAGUCUUGGGUGCCGGAGAGGUAAGCGGAAUUCCUAGUGUAGCGGUGAAAUGCGUAGAUAUUAGGAGGAACACCGGUGGCGAAGGCGGGUCUCUGGGCCAUUACUGACGCUGAGGAGCGAAAGCGUGGGGAGCGAACA